UUACAUGUCAAUAACCUCCGGACAAGUAACUAACCCUAUCUCCCACUAUAAAAAACACUCAUGCUAACAACUCAUACAUACACACAUACACUUCUUCUUCUACCCAGAAACAUCACCGCAAAGAACCCUUCUCACCCAACUCUAAUCUAAUAGAUGUUUGACGCUCAUCUUCUUCUACCUCUUAACCCGACGAUUAACACAACAUCCAUACUUUAUUGAAUUUUAUCAAUUUGAUCUAAUUUUAAGAUCAAUUCAUUUAAUUUUUGACUGAACUGAC
rnacentral:lncRNA from 1 species